UACGAAGGGUGCAAGCGUUACUCGGAAUUACUGGGCGUAAAGCGUGCGUAGGUGGUUCGUUAAGUCUGAUGUGAAAGCCCUGGGCUCAACCUGGGAAUGGCAUUGGAAACUGGCGACCUAGAGUGCGGUAGAGGGUAGUGGAAUUCCCGGUGUAGCAGUGAAAUGCGUAGAGAUCGGGAGGAACAUCCGUGGCGAAGGCGACUACCUGGACCAGCACCGACACUGAGGCACGAAAGCGUGGGGAGCAAACAGG
rnacentral:rRNA from 1 species